GUUCUGAGCUGGCCGUUCGUACACUUGCCAAGCCGACCGCAAGAGAGGACUGACUGCCACGGACACUGCCAUCGCUGACUGUCAGUGCGACCCGCGGACGCUCUGCGUCCGCGCAGGAUGCCAUUGAAAUGAAGCUGCCCCAACAACCUUCAUGGGAAGAAUUCACUUCAAGAGUAAAGAUGUUGAAUACCAGAAGACGGGUUACAUGUGGAAUUCACACUCUCACCAGCUAGCGGGAGGCACAGACCACUAAUGUUGCUUGACUGAAUCAUUCCUGGUGACCACCAAAAAGGAUGAGAAAGCCAAAGCAGAAAAUGUGGAGAGUCUGUGAAAGGACCUCAGGAGAUGCAACACUUCUACUCUUUUUCUACCCCCUGGGUCUGACUUAUCACAUUGGAGGAUUGGGGAGAAAAUCUGGGUAUGAAUGUCUCAG